GAUGAACGCUGGCGGCGUGCUUAACACAUGCAAGUCGAACGAAGCACUUUAUUUGUUUUCCUUCGGGACUGAUUAUUUUGUGACUGAGUGGCGGACGGGUGAGUAACGCGUGGGUAACCUGCCUUGUACAGGGGGAUAACAGUUGGAAACGGCUGCUAAUACCGCAUAAGCGCACGGCAUCGCAUGAUGCAGUGUGAAAAACUCCGGUGGUAUAAGAUGGACCCGCGUUGGAUUAGCUAGUUGGUGAGGUAACGGCCCACCAAGGCGACGAUCCAUAGCCGACAAGAGAGGGUGAGCGGCCACAUUGGGACUGAGACACGGCCCAGAAUCCGACGGGAGGCGGCAGUGGGGAAUAUAGCACAAUGGGCGAGAGGCUGAUGCAGCGACGACGCGAGAGCGAAGAAGUAAUUCGGGAUGUAAAGCACAAUCAGCAGGGAAGAUAAUGACGGUACCUGACUAAGAAGCACCGGCUAAAUACGUG
rnacentral:rRNA from 1 species